UUGAAAGGGAAACGAUUGAAGCCAGUCGUACCAGCGGAUAAUCAACCUUUAGAUGCGAUUUUAUGGAGUGUGAGGAGCUAAUCGCCUUCAUGCCUGUAUAUUCGUAUACUUGGGGUGUACUUAUUCGUGUGGUAAGUUAACAUCAAUUUUGGUUGUCAUAAAAUGAUUGGAGGAAUGUAGCUUCGAUCUUGUAUUGAAGUGUUAUAGCCUUCGGUAGAUGUGACGAUCGGGAUUGAGGAUUGCAACGGAUACCCUUCGGGGCUACCUGUCUGAUCUCUGAUUGUUGCUCUGGUGCUGAAAGCUUGCUUACGGUUAUCAAAGUCGAUGGUCAAUAGGUUAGAACGGGUUAAAUUCGUUAAGGAUGUUGACGUA
rnacentral:rRNA from 1 species